GACGAACGCUGGCGGCGUGCCUAAUACAUGCAAGUAGAACGCAGUUGCGAACGGGUGAGUAACGCGUAGGUAACUGCCUCAUAGCGGGGGAUAACUAUUGGAAAAGAUAGCUAAUACAGCAUACUGUGAGAUGGACCUGCGUUGUAUUAGCUAGUUGGUGAGGUAAAGGCUCACCAAGGCGACGGUACAUAGCCGACCUGAGAGGGUGAUCGGCCACACUGUGACUGAGACACGACCCAGACUCCUACGGGAGGCAGCCGUAGAGAAUCUUCGGCACUGUACGCAAGUCUGACCGAGCAACGCCGCGUGAGUGAAGAGUGUUUUCGGAUCGUAACGCUCUUUUUUUACAGAAGCGGUACCUAACCAGGAAGGGACGGCUCACUACGUGCCAGCAGCCGCGGUGAUAC
rnacentral:rRNA from 1 species